rnacentral:lncRNA from 1 species
UAAAAUGGCAUUUCCAUGCCUUUAUUCACAAGUUUUGGCAGCCUGAAAAUUCCCCAAAAAAAUACUUCCCAAAGCUUCCAGAUCUGGAGUGAAAACUUCAGAUCUGAAAUUUUCUUAGACUUUUAACUUCUUCAAAAGAAAAACAACAAAAAACUUCAAAAAUCAAAAGAGGCCACUAUUUCAUUUGGAAUUGUAGGAUAAUUUGGAUGUUCUAUUCAUGGAUGCACCUCUCUUAGUUCUGUCAUUGAUUGCGGAAAGUUUAGAGAUCCAUUAGUUGUGUUUCGAGUAAGAUUACUGAGGUUCAAGGGGGUUUACUGUUCAGCUGCAAUUUUCUCUCAUUUUGGGUCCAAGUUCAAGUUAAUCUGAGUGCGUUCAAGUGUGUUGUUCGAGUUACUGUUUCUAUUUGAUUUCAAAUUUCUCCUGAAUUAUCAAGUUCAACCUCUGGACUAUACUUGAUUUCUGGACUGUUGCCGCUGAUCUAUCAAUUUUCUAUUUUGUGUCGAAUUUUAGGUACAUGUUUCAGCCCGCUCAGUAUAAUAUCUCCUGUGGAAUGGAAAUGUAUUAGGUUUCUUAGAAAAGGUUUAUAUUUUGGCAUAUUCAUCUCUGUGAUCCAAUGUUAAUUGAAUAACGUUGACUUAACUGUAAUCAUUGGCUAAUACAAUCAGUGUCAAUUGGAUUUAAUUGUUGAAAGCCAUUACUUAAAGUGAGUUUGACAUUCAAUGAGUUUGUGCAUUUUGGUAUAAUAGUUAAGAGGCAUUGGAAAUUGGACCUUUGUGUCUGUACUGGAUUCGAUCCCAAACCUUGGCAUCACAGCCACCUGAUUUGCUCAGUACUCCCAUUGGGCCAUCUGUUUUCAUUUGGGCCCCUACCAGUGCAUUUCGUGUUUUAUAGAAUUUUGUUGCUUCUCGUUGCUUGGAUACGAUGCCCACUGUUCGGGAUUGCUGGAACUUAAACAAUUGGCCUGUCGCAGGUGUAUUGUGAAAAAAUUCAGUUUUUAUUAAAGGUGACGUGGCAUGACACGUGGAUUGGUCUAACAGUCAAAGAGCAAUAAAUGAUUAAAAUGCACGGAAGACAACAUGCACGGUAGAAGAAAAGAAAACAGGCACGAGAAGGAAUCUUAGAUACGAUUCUCAUGUCUAUCCAAGACAUUCAAUAUCAACGGAUAAAAAGUGCAUUGAAGACACGAAUCUAAUGACAAAAUGUAGUCUACAUUCAUUAUUAAAUACCUGAUACGUUAGUUAUUCAGUGUUAAAUAGCAAUGAUUAUGUAACGUCUCAUUAAAUGCUCUUUAUUAUUUAGAAUAAUCCGUUACUCCUUGUCAACUAUAAAAGGAGGAAGUUUUAUCAUUUGUAGACACAGAACUCUCUUGAGAUCAUAGUGAAAUACAACUUUCUUAUUGCUUUAUUCGUAUUCUUUGAAAGCCAAUUAUAUUUCGGUCUCUU